rnacentral:tRNA from 1 species
UAUAGGGGCUCAGUGGUAGAGUGCUUGCCUAGCACGUGUGAGGCCCUGGCUUCAAUUCUCAGCACCAUAUAA